UACCGCACAACGGAGAUGGGCGUCGCGAGUAGUGACUAGAGUGUGCCGUGUGGGUUACCGCGCAGCUUGCGUGUUUGUUUAGUAACACAUGGAAAGGUCGGAGAGGGCCCGGCUCACACGUCGCUUCUACCUACAUAUUUUAUUGACCCCGCACGACACACAAGCACCAAUGACGUCGAGACAUAUCUUCAGAUAUUGCUGGAGCCUAAGGAAAACCAAACGCCGAGUACCCAAGAUGUUUCUUAUCACCAUACUCAGGCAAACUACAUUACAAUAAAUUCCCUUUAUUUUCAUUGCGAAUGUACCAAUCCGCCAUAUUUUCAUAAUUUUAUAGUAGGCUUGAUACCAUGCCAACUCACUGAUAUCUCGCUCCUAAAACACAACCGCUAUCGAAAGCGAUAAAAUUAUGUAGAGUAUCACUGCAAAAUAAAGAAGUACUGUGUUGUUAUUGCAACCCGAAUUCAAUUGAAGAGUCUAACUAGUGUAUUAUGAUGGUUAAGAUGAGUUUUACACUUCUUCAGAUGUAUUAAUGAGCAAUAUUCGAUAUGUAGUGUAUUAAAAAACUUUAUAUAUGCAAUAAUUUUGCGGAUUCUAAAGCGAUCUGAUUGCCGAGAAAUUUGCGAGUUAAAAUGGUAAGGUAACGCGUCUGCUUUCCAUUAAAACAUUAAAUACAUGAAUGUUUAACUCUGUGAAUUCAUUAUUCGAUUAUUUGACUGAAUAACUUAAAUGUUCUGCGAAAAAAAUAUUCAUUACAUGGAAAUUUCUCUUUUAAAAUAAGAAAUAUUUAU
rnacentral:lncRNA from 1 species